UACUCACGAAUAUGCAGCUGGUUUUCUGUUUCGCUUGUGAGACAAAUGUUCUGCAACGCCACCUUCAAGCGUUAUUAUACAACCUCAAGUUCUUUUCACUGCUACAGAUGUUGUGUCUAUUUUUCUCAUGUUUACAUUUGCUUACAAAGUAACCACUAAUUAACCCUAAUCGUGUUUAUCAUUAGAUGGGCUCUAUCACCAAUAUCUAUAAACGCCUACUACGAUAUGUUGGCUAACAAAAUGGUGUUUCCAGCGGCUAUCCUCCAAUCUCCAUUUUACAAUAAGAGGUAUCCGAGGAAUCACUUCUAAAGCUGAUAAAUCAUCUUACACCUCAGAUUGAUGGCGAAAAAACCUUGUCAGGAAACAUAGCUGAUAAUGGAGGACUUAAACAGGCGUUCAGGGUAAGUUCUGUACCCUUUUCCAGUCCUGGAACGACAAGUUGCUUUCAUUAGACUUUCUUUCCGACAGACUAUCUCUCGUUUUUGUCAAAAAGGUUACUCAGAUCCUUGACUAAAAUUCAGCAAACCUUAACAAGAGCCUCGUCGACUAUUAGCUCUGACGAAGGGCUAAUGCUCGA